CACGAACCGAGUUUUGACGAGCCGGCCUGCCCGUUUGAUAUCCCUACCUAGUCGCCGAUGUCUCUCUUCCCCACCCGCAGAAUUCGAUUUCUCCACCCGUCGGCGCGUCACCGGCACACCUACACGGGCCCAUAAGAACUCUUUUCUCCAUUCUCUGCUGGUUAUUGGUAAAUAUAGUCUUCAAAUGCAUGUUAUUCCACUGUGAAUAGAUAACAAAGACUUACAAUGCAAUCUUGGAAGAUCUUAGCGCCCUCAGCGACGGCUUGACCGGCUUGAUGGACGACUGAUUCAGCAUAGUUCUUGACGGUGCGUGUGAGGUUGUUCUUAUUCCCCACCUCCACCGCCUUAUUCACGGCCCAAAGCAGCCACAACAUUUCUUCACUUCUUAAAUUAUUACUACUAAUAAUUCUUCCUUCUGAUUUUGAAACACAGUGAUAAUUAUGUCAAUUUUUAUGUUUCGAAGCCUUCCUGGGAUUGCACACAUUCCACUUUUUGUAUAAAUAGUGUUCUAAUAAAUUGCAGCCCAUGAAAUAAGAAUUGAGAUUGAGUGCAGCUCUGUAUUUAGCGCGGCCCCUGGAGUACUGUAGUAGUCGACGACGGAGAGUUGUUUGAUAAGGUAAACUUCGUAAGUUCCAAUUUUCCUUUCAAAACUAAACGUUUUGCGGUCUUCUAUUCAUUCGCUAGCCAUACAGGAUGGGAACCCUAUGCUCUCCUGCUUUCGCCAGAUGUGCAACCUGAUGUAAUCAUAUAUAAAUACUGUACUUGUGUUAUACACAAAAGGAAUCUAAACAAUUGUUCCCUUUGAGUUUUGCUUACCCUUCUCGAAUGUAAUAUAUUCCUUCAAAAAGGAAAUAUUGAUUUUUUAGCCGACAUGGGUACUUGUUUCAAACACCUACCUUCUCAAAUCAUUGAAUAGACCUCUUAAUAAAUUUUGAACCCCAGAUAAUGUUGUCUCAAAAUCUUUAAACAGUCCAGAGAGACUGUUUUUGGUGUUUUCUUUGGCUGCG
rnacentral:lncRNA from 1 species